UUUUCAAUAACUGAUGCAUUCUCUGAUUGACACAUCAGCUUAGUACAAUUUUCUUACUCUUUCAUUUUUCACGGAGGAUUUUGAUUAUAUCUAAUACUUAUAACAAAAGGAAAUCGUUUUUAUUUAGCUUUUUAUUUUCUCAAAACCCUUUUUUCUUUCAUCCCCAUGAUCUCCACCUCUUCCACUUCUUCUCCUCCAAAAUUUCGAUGACUUAUCUAUAAAAGAAAAAGAUGGUCUUCUCAUCAUCAUACAUCGAUUAGUCUCAGAAAUCAAUUACUUUUUUCACCCCAAAGUUUCGCCAAAUACGUCUUCAAGCUCAAGCAAGCAUUCAAAAGUUUCAUUUUCCUUGGCAGAUCAGAAAACAAUUGCAGAAUUUUAUUCGGUAUUAUCCAAUUUUCUACGUUUUGGAUAAGUGUUUAACUUUCUCCUUAGAUCUACAAAGCAUUUACAGUACAUAAUGAUUUUGUUACAUGAUUCAGUUACGAACUGAACCCAAUCCAAAAGGAAUCCAACGUGUUCUCUUAAUUUUCAAUCAAUCCUUAAUUUACCAUCUCCAAUUUCAGUUUUUUAUUUUGUUAUAGUUGUCAAAGAUUAUUAAAUAUGUCAUGCUUAAUAGAUUACCUUUCAAUA